rnacentral:rRNA from 1 species
CCUACGGGUGGCUGCAGUGGGGAAUAUUGGACAAUGGGCGAAAGCCUGAUCCAGCCAUGCCGCGUGUGUGAAGAAGGCCUUCGGGUUGUAAAGCACUUUCAGUGGGGAAGAAAGCCUUGGGGCUAAUACCCUCGAGAAAGGACAUCACCCACAGAAGAAGCACCGGCUAACUCCGUGCCAGCAGCCGCGGUAAUACGGAGGGUGCGAGCGUUAAUCGGAAUUACUGGGCGUAAAGCGCGCGUAGGCGGUCUGAUAAGCCGGUUGUGAAAGCCCCGGGCUCAACCUGGGAACGGCAUCCGGAACUGUCAGGCUAGAGUGCAGGAGAGGAAGGUAGAAUUCCCGGUGUAGCGGUGAAAUGCGUAGAGAUCGGGAGGAAUACCAGUGGCGAAGGCGGCCUUCUGGACUGACACUGACGCUGAGGUGCGAAAGCGUGGGUAGCAAACAGGAUUAGAUACCCGAGUAGUC